rnacentral:rRNA from 1 species
GGACGAACGCUGGCGGCGUGCUUAACACAUGCAAGUCGAACGAGACGAUUGAAAGCUUGCUUUUGAAAGUCGAGUGGCAAACGGGUGAGUAACGCGUAGACAACCUGCCUUUGAGAUGGGACAACAGUCCGAAAGGACUGCUAAUACCGAAUGUUGUGGAACUUCCGCAUGGAAGCUCCACCAAAGAUGACCUCUUCCUGAAAGUUAUCGCUCAAAGAUGGGUCUGCGUCUGAUUAGCUAGUUGGUGGGGCAACGGCCUACCAAGGCGACGAUCAGUAGCCGGUCUGAGAGGAUGAACGGCCACAUUGGAACUGAGACACGGUCCAGACUCCUACGGGAGGCAGCAGUGGGGAAUCUUCCGCAAUGGGCGAAAGCCUGACGGAGCAACGCCGCGUGAGUGAAGAAGGCCUUCGGGUCGUAAAGCUCUGUUGUCGGGGACGAAUGUACGAACUAUCAACAACGGUUCGUAAUGACGGUACCUGACGAGGAAGCCACGGCUAACUACGUG